AGUGCGGAUGUUGGAUGGUAGUUUGGAACAGAUGCUUGAGCACAUACAUUUGACGUGAUUUUCUGGAAGAAAAUGCGAACGUCUUAUUUACAGCCUUUUUAGGAAGUGUCUGCAAGAUUAUUGCUCUCCCGAAAUGAAGACGGCAGGAAUACUUUUGACAAUGGCAAUAUUUACAUUUUCAAAAUGUGAAGGGAGCGGUGGCUUUGACCCAAGGAGUGGAGGCGUGCUCUACUUCAAAAACGGUAUGUGCCAUUUUAAUGGCAUAGACAUUAGCGAUGGUUCUGACGGAUACUUCACGUUUCCUUGUGCAAGAGCCAUAUGCAAGGCGUCAUUCCACAUGAUGGUGCUCGUAGGGUGUCCGCCUCCUGAAAACACUCCGCCUGCUAAGAAAUAUGUAUCUGCUUGGCCGAGCUGCUGCAAUGUCACUGCUUAACCUUGACAACAGCGAAAACACACAAUGCCUGUCUUCAAUCUCCAAGUUUUCAGCAUCGACUUUUUUACAUAUGCUAUGCGGAAGAGAGCUGAAGUCAUUCCUAGGACAAGACGUUAUGUCCGCGAAUAAAAAGAUG